CCUACGGGAGGCUGCAGUGAGGAAUAUUGGUCAAUGGACGAGAGUCUGAACCAGCCAAGUAGCGUGAAGGAUGACUGCCCUAUGGGUUGUAAACUUCUUUUAUAUGGGAAUAAAAUGUUCCACGUGUGGGAUUUUGUAUGUACCAUAUGAAUAAGGCUCGGCUAACUCCGUGCCAGCAGCCGCGGUAAUACGGAGGAUCCGAUCGUUAUCCGGAUUUAUUGGGUUUAAAGGGAGCGUAGGUGGAUUGUUAAGUCAGUUGUGAAAGUUUGCGGCUCAACCGUAAAAUUGCAGUUGAAACUGGCAGUCUUGAGUACAGUAGAGGUGGGCGGAAUUCGUGGUGUAGCGGUGAAAUGCUUAGAUAUCACGAAGAACUCCGAUUGCGAAGGCAGUUCACUGGACUGCAACUGACACUGAGGCUCGAAAGUGUGGGUAUCAAACAGGAUUAGAUACCCCAGUAGUC
rnacentral:rRNA from 1 species